CUGGAAAUCCAUCUGGCUGGCUGCCGGCUCUAAUGAAUAACCCCACUUUGGCGCGUGCAAUUGUACAGCUGACUUAACUCUUCCAUGCUUCAGUGUCCUUGUUUCUAAAGUGGAGCUCAUCUCAAAGUUUUCGAAACUGUGAAAGGAAUGAAUGCACAUUAAAUGGACACAAAGCAUUAGAGAAGUGAACAAAAACAAAAUGGCGGCUUUCCUGAAGUUCAAAGGCAUCUCUGAUACCAAAUGAAGACUGACAAUCCUCCUUUCCCUGAUGGGCACAAAGUACAGUGCUAAGUUAAAGGAAAGUGAAUC
rnacentral:lncRNA from 1 species